rnacentral:rRNA from 1 species
UGCCGGUGAUAACCGGAGAGGCGGGGAUGACGUCAAGUCCUCACUGGCCCUUACCAUCCCGGGCUACACACGUGCUACAAUGGCAGGUACAGAGGGCUGCGAAGCCGCGAGGUGGAGCGAAUCCCAGAAAACCUGUCUCAGUCCGGAUUGAAGUCUGCAACUCGACUUCAUGAAGGCGGAAUCGCUAGUAACCGCGAAUCAGCAGGUCGCGGUGAAUACCGUUCCCGGGCCUU